GAUUAACGCUAGCGGCAGGCCUAAUACAUGCAAGUCGAACGGCAGCACGGGUAGCAAUACCUGGUGGCGAGUGGCGCACGGGUGCGUAACGCGUAUGCAAUCUACCUGUAACUGGGGAAUAGCCUUCCGAAAGGAAGAUUAAAACCGCAUGAUAUCACGAGACGGCAUCGUUUUGUGAUCAAAUCUCCGGAGGUUACAGAUGAGCAUGCGUGACAUUAGCUAGUUGGUGAGGUAACGGCUCACCAAGGCGACGAUGUCUAGGGGGUCUGAGAGGAUGAUCCCCCACACUGGUACUGAGACACGGACCAGACUCCUACGGGGAGGCAGCAGUAAGGAAUAUUGGACAAUGGCCGCAAGGCUGAUCCAGCCA
rnacentral:rRNA from 1 species